ACUCUACCCUCCCUCCUCCUGGCUUGACCAUCCUCCCCCCGUCCAGCAAUGAGUUGGAAUCCAGCAAAGUCACCCUGGUCGGUCUGGCCAGUCAGAUGGUCAUGGGCUACGCUGAUGUCAGCUGGACAGCGGGAGGGAAUCCGGUCACCAGCGGCAUCGCUACGAGUGGCCCCGUGCCGCAAGCCGACAAGACGUUCCAACUCAACAGCUGUCUGACCGUUGACACGUCAGAAUGGAACCAGGACAAAGUGUUCUCAUGUAAAGUCACCGCGGGCUCCAAGUUCGCUGAGAAAGGCAUCAAAAAGUCUGAAUGCAGCACUUAA